UUUUGUUCAUUUCAUGUUUUUCAGCCCACUUUGGAUUUCUUUGGACGACCUAUAACGAUUAAAUCAGACUGCAGAAGACAAAGAAAAAAGCGAUUCGCGACAAUCAAAACCCAGUCACAUUUGGUUUCGCUUCAACGAAGGAUACAGCAAUGCUGUGCGCAAGAGCGUCAAAGUGCAAGAAUUCUUGUAAUAAUAUUGAGUUGUUUGUGGUCCAGACUUGAUGUCUACGCAGG